rnacentral:rRNA from 1 species
ACUCCUACGGGAGGCAGCAGUGGGGAAUAUUGCACAAUGGGGGAAACCCUGAUGCAGCCAUGCCGCGUGUGUGAAGAAGGCCUUCGGGUUGUAAAGCACUUUCAGUAGGGAGGAAGGUAGUGUAGUUAACACCUGCACUAUUUGACGUUACCUACAGAAGAAGCACCGGCUAACUCCGUGCCAGCAGCCGCGGUAAUACGGAGGGUGCGAGCGUUAAUCGGAAUUACUGGGCGUAAAGCGCAUGCAGGCGGCCUGUUAAGUCAGAUGUGAAAGCCCGGGGCUUAACCUCGGAAUUGCAUUUGAAACUGGCAGGCUAGAGUCUUGUAGAGGGGGGUAGAAUUUCAGGUGUAGCGGUGAAAUGCGUAGAGAUACUGAAGGAAUACCAGUGGCGAAGGCGGCCCCCUGGACAAAGACUGACGCUCAGA